rnacentral:misc_RNA from 1 species
AACGCACGAGACCUGCGGACCUGCGGAGGGAUCAUUAGUGGACGCCCUCACGGGCUUAUAACUAUUCCAAACCUCUGUGAACCGUGCCCUUCGGGGCUAUUUUACAAACAUGGUGUAAUGAACGUCAUAUAUCAUAACAAAACAAAACUUUUAACAACGGAUCUCU